UAUAACUUUAUCCAUCGCUUGUAAUACAUUUCUUAUACUGAUGUAAUUAUAUCGUUGCAGUUCAUGAUUUUUAUAAAUGUGAGAACAAUUGUGUAUACGUUUUUAUAUUACGAUAUUUUAUGCAGUCUUAUUUUUUUAUAUAAUAUGACAUAUGAUAAUGUGAUUCUAUAUAUUUUAGUAAUGCUUUAUAUUUUUAAUAAAUAAUUGGAUAUAUUAAUUUUUAUAUUUAAAAUAAAAUAUUGGGAUCGAUAAGUGAAGUAAAUGUUUAGUGAUAAAACAAUAAAUAAUAAUGGAAAGAGUUCUAUCUGCUUGGAUAUGUAUGAUUGCUGCUGUGAUUAUAAUAAGGCCUAUGAUAGAAAAUGAAAUAUUUAUAGUGAUAAACUUUUACCAUAAGGGCUAUCUUGAAUAAAUCUUAUCCAGUCCCAAGAAAAGGUUGUGUCAGGUUUGCAUCAGGAUUGUGACAAAGUGUACUGUAAAUGAUUCUGGAACAACUUUGAUCAAUGCCUGAUGUAUAUUUGAUACUACACUAACAUCUGUUUAUAAAACUCUUUAUGUGUAACUAUAAGGAAUUCAAAAGAUUGGAAAUCAAACACUGGAGGUCAAUUUAAAAAUAAAGAAGGUAAAAAAUGUAAACUUUAAUUCUUAACGUUUCAAUACUUUUGUAUAUCCUUAUCAAAUAUUAGAAUAUUUAAUAUCUAUAAUAAUAAUU